UUUUAUUUCAAUAUAUAUACUAGUAAAAUGUACGUGCAAAUGCCCGUAAUAAUUAUUAGAAAAGGUUAUAAUUUUUUUAAAUUAUUUUUUAAUUUUAGGCCAUAUUUUAUAUGAUUGCCAAAUAUGUAUCUAAAAAAUUUAAAAUAAUAAAUCACGCUAUUAAGAAAGAUAUGCUUUAAAUGAUAAAUAGUUAACAAUAAUCUCUAAUGCAAAAAUUACUUUUGAAAUUAAAUAGAAAAAUUUAUAUUUUACGAUUUUCACAUCUCUAAUCUGUUAUAGAGAACUCACGUAUUCAUUACUGUUUUUAUUUCUAUUUUUAUUCUUAUAUUUAAAAUUUUUCGUACGGAAAGAGAAAAAUAGGCACUAAUUUUUCCGCCAAAAAAUGGGUCUGUCGACAGACCCAAAUUUGAAUAUACGUGCUUUUAUAUAUAGUAUAGAUAUAUAUAUAUAGAAUUGAGUUUCUAUGUUUUUAAAAGUAUCAAGUUAUUAGUGCUUGUAAGUUUUCGGCUCUUGGAUUGAACGAUGUGCGGUUAAAAUGAUGUGAGCCCCCUAAAGUUGAGUAGGUGGUUGGUUGAAUAAUAUAAUCUAACGGGUAAAAAUGAUCAAAGGUAGAGAUCUACCGGUAAAAAAUUUACAAACACCAAGUGCUUAGUACUUAUACAAGCACCAUGCAUAGUCGGACUCUAUAUAUAUAUAUAUAUAUAUAUAUAUCAUUUUAUAUUAUUUUUUAUCAGAUUGAUUUUAUGAUUAAUACAGUGUUACAAUAGUUCUA
rnacentral:lncRNA from 1 species